CAUGUGCUCGUGUUUCUGAUUGGCCUAUUUCGAUCCACAACUGGGUAUAUAUAUUUCUUAGCGCGUAGAGUUUUCGAUCUAUGUUCUGACGUUUUAAACUCUGAAGAGUGUCAGACGAAAAGCUUUAGUUUACUAAAUGUUUGCUUUUUUCAAAGCCGUGUAUAAUUUACUUAUAAAAAUAUUGUCUUUUCCAUUUGAAGGCAAUGUUGUUCCACUUUAUACACAACUCAAUAUACUUAUUGCUCGCCUUGUUGGCUCUUUGGAAAUACUAAUUUCCCAUUGCACUAAUGCACGUCUGUUUGUGGCCUACUUAAGACAACUGCAUUAAGCAUGAAACUCAAAGUUGCAACUUUGCACCGCCCUGUUCUAUAUUAGAUGGUAUCGAGCACUAUGUGACAGACUUAUUAGCACAAACUUGAUUAAGUGACAUGAUAUAUCUUCCUUGAUAAGUAAGUUUGAAUGAAGCCACACCCUCACUUGUAUCUAUUAUGCAGACUUGAUUUCAAAAUUUUGCUUCUUCAGUGCUAAAAAGCAUCUAUGCUCAUACCUGCAAAAUGCAAAGUGCAUACAAAAUUCUAAUCUAGCUGCGGUGGGGCGUCUUCCCACCAUUUCAUAGAUUACAUUUUUCCUAUUCAUUCUACCAAAUGCUCUUGGAUGAAUGCAUCGAUAAAGUUUUCAUUAAUUAAUUAUUACUAGUUUCGGUUGCAUUUCUUUCUCUUAAAUCGACUAUUUAAAAUAUUCACCACUAAGGUACCUAUUUACAUCACAAGCGUAAUCCUUGGAACUUGGAUACGAUUAUUCAGCAUUUUGUAUGGGGAGGUUUUAUGCACGAAUUCCAGUUUUCUGUCAGAAAUGAUACCGCAUGAUUGGGUGUGCUUAGCCAUGGCUUAAUUUUUCUUCUGCAUUUGGUUAUGGGUUGCAAGAGAAUUUGGCUUUGUUUCUGGGAGAUGGCAACUUGAGAUACAAAAGACACGACAUCUUGUUUUAUGUAGUCCAGAUCCGAGAUAGCAAAGAAAGAUGACAAGACACACGCAACAGAUGUUUAUGUGUGAUCCAGUGAACCUUUUCGUUAAUAGUAAAGUUCGAUAUUUAUUAUAGAAAGACCCUCUGCCAAUUAAACAGAAACACUAUGCCGAACCGAUCGCACGGAACAUUUCCGCGUUUCAAUGAGAAUGGCACAGAACACACAUCAUCGCAAAUCAUCGAGAAAACGAGUCAGGUAGAUUCGCCGGAUUGCGAGGCCAAUAUUCAUUUACCGCAUAUACGCAACGACACACCGGGAAAUUCCAAGUCGGAACGAAAACCGGGAAGAUUUUUCAAAUUUUCAAAUGAUAGGAACAGUUUUACAGAGAACUUGCUGUCGUUUUUCACAGGAAGCAAGGACCGUGGAAACCAGCAGAAAACAACAGACUCAGAAAAACCCAGAACUGCAGCAGCAAAGGAGAGCGGUUUACGGAACCGGACCGAAAACCGUCACGGCGUUGUAACGAGAAACGAGCGAAGCGCUCGGUCACACGUAACACACAAUAAUCUUCAGAAACAUCCACUUCAGAGAACUGAUAAACCGCGAAUAACGGCCUUGACGAAAAACGACUCUUUUAGGCCGGUUACUGGACGGUCUCGCACACGUGCUUCGAACGGGGCAGUUGCGAAAAAGGACAACGAUAGCGACAUAGGGGGUUGCGAGAACAUGUACAAGACGAAGCAACCGCCCGGAAAAUUCAACGUGCCGCGGAAACGAUCGCUUGAAAUAAGCGAAUAUAUUCGCAGAGAGAAUUAUAAAUAUAACGAACGCACCGCGAAGCAGUUCUUGUUUCAAAAAUGGCUACGAAGCACGGAAACAGAGCUGCCUGAACACUAUCCAAUUGAACACAACGACACAAAAUUAUCAAAAUAGUUUGUUAUGUAAAUAGUAUAAAUUUUACUUCCAGAGUAGGUUGGUGUUGGGUAUUAUAAACCAGUUUCAUGGUAAUUUGUUAUUCAUAUUGCUAGAAACAUAAGACUGUUUUUCCGUCAAAAUUUCUCUAUGCAAAAAUUUGUUUCUUUCGAAUGCAAAGUUGGAAAAAGAUUGAAGUUGUUGAGGCGGGAAGGGACCCUAACCCUUUGUCCUUUCUGGUCCUUCAUUUCUUUUUUUGUCCUUUUUUCAUUUAUGAUUUUUCCCCUAUUCAGUUUCAAAUUUUUGGGCUGCAGUUGGGUAUUGGGGUAAGGGGGUUGUAUCCUUUUUUGGCCAUAUAUGAAUUCUUUCUGGUCCCCCCACCUCUUCAAAGGGGUAGCACUGUAUAAGGUAACCUUACCUUGGGCCUGAUCGUGUUACGCCAUUUUUAUAUGCUUAUUGAGUAUUUGAGACUAAUUUUAUGCUUACAUCAUGCUUAUUUUAUUAGUUCCAAGAUGCAUUGAUUUAUCUCAUUACGGGCAAACUCUCACGGCUGAACCCUUCAAUCGUUGCCUGAUAUGCUAAAUUGACCGCUCCUCUUUAUAACUUUUCUUUGUGCGUUUUACACAUUAAUUUGAUAUUUUUGAUCUAAGGAUGGGAAUGUGUUUCUUACGUUUAACCAACAUAACAAGGAUUGCACAUUUUAAGAAAUUUCGUUUUAUUUAAUUGACUAAAUAAUUUCCUUCUCGGGUACUGCUCUUUUUUCAUGCACGUAAAUAAAAACAAAUGAAGUGGAUCAUACAGAGAUUUUCGUACAAACUUUCAACAGAAUUUUGCGUUCGCAAACUUAACUUUUUUCUAUGAUACAAAAACCCUGUUUACGUAUGAUGCUGUCACGUAACCCUCUCUUCUUUAUUAGAUGAAUUCUCAAGCAUUACACCUUUGGGGUACGCUAUCCAAUAAUCAUACAGUAUAUAAAAGUUUAUCAUAUGUACCUCGAAAGCCGAAAAACCCAUAUUAGCAACUGAUAUCAAAUUAGUAUUUCGGACCAGGAACCCACACAAGGUGUAACAGGCAUAACUUUAGGUGAAUUCGGAGAAAUUUCUACGUGCCUAACAAUUUUCAAAACAUCCAUCUAAUUUUUGAAGAGAAAUCCUCUCUACCCUUUUGGAUAGAAAAGUAUUCCUAUGUUUCUUAGGCAUAAUUCUUAUUGAAUCCAAAUCUUCUACAAAAGUUAUUUCAAUAUUUUUUUUAUAGCUUCCCAAAAAUUUUGUCAUAUUUAGUUUUAGUUUGUCUUCAGUCCAUCAUCAGUUUGUCUUCAGUUUGUUUUUGACAAUUUUAUAUCUUUUUCCAAUUUUUUUAGUCUUGUUAAAGUUAAGGAUUUGUUCUGACAUCACAAACAUAACUGAACUGGAUAUUAAGAUUGACUCUAUCCAGGUUAUCAGAAAAUAGGAACUGGAGACACGAGUUUGCCCCCCUCCUCAAGGCUUUUAUACGUGCUCUCUCAGGGGGAAAAAGUGCCCCUAUUCAUGUUGUAUUUUUACUUUCACAGUGCCUUUUUGCUAAAGUUUUGGCUGACUGCUGAUCACGAUAAAGACCCUUCAAAUAAUCCCCCCCCCCCCUAAAUGCUUCCUACGACCCUAAAGUUUAUACUUAUUUUCAUAUGAAGUAAAUUCUGUUUUAUAUAAUCUAAAUUCGUAUUAAAAUCUUUCAAAUAUAUCUGCUGUCAGCCAAACAAUUUUUUUUUCUUGAGGAUGUUCUUAGUGAAAUGUACUCACGACGAUUUCAAAUAGAGCAGUUUUUUAUAUCUGUCUCUUAGAUUUGUUCAUUUUAGGCCCUCGCUGUCUAUUGCUUAGCAACAGUUUUCAAAGAGAUGACAUUACGGUCAUUCUCUACAUCACAAUGGGACAACCAGCCGAUGUUGGUGGGUCAGCGUAACCUGGCGGGUAAGAUGAAAUAAGUGGUCUCUUUGGUUUUUAAUUAACUACCUGCAUAAAAAUUUUGGUAUUUUCUUGAGGGCAAUAACAAGCAAUCAGCUAGUGUGCAAAACCAUAUUAUAGUAGCCCCUUGUAGCACACUCGAAAUUAUUAGAGGUGCAAUGGAAGGAGGGCUCAAGAGGCGUUAUGGCUUAGCCCUGUCUGAUAUUUUGGACGGGGGUAGCUCAACCCCUAAAUUUAGUCAAAUGAAUAUUUGACCUAGCUAAUCUGCAAGUGAACCUGUGAACCAAUCCUUUAUUAUUAUUAUUAUUAUUAUUAUUAUUAUUUUUCAUCUAUUCAUUCAUUUAUUAUUAGAUCAAGUCUCCUGAAGUAGCAGGAACGUCAAAGAAGGAUUAUGGGCAAAUUUGAAUAUAACAACAGAGGGAAAGCGACACCAUAGGGCGGCAUUGGCAUCGAAGCAAUUCAAGUAUCGAUAUUGCAAAAAAUGGGAGAUGUAUUGAAUAUGGGACAAAGAGACUUCACACCUUCGACAUGAAACGUGGCCUGUUCGAUGUAAACAACAUGUGGCUUCAACGGAACAUUGUUGAAUUUUGUGGAUAUUUUUCACUUUAAUUGCGAACAUUUCUGCUGUUUUUUGCAUGUCUUUUCCCCCAACGAAGAAUCGUGGAUUUUCUGAGAAGGAAGAAAUUGCAAUUACCCUCCGCUGCGAUGAAGGACUAGCCCUACAACCUUUGACUACUAACUUGGACUACAUAUUUAUUUCAUUAGGAUAUUGUAAAUAUGACAGUAACCUCAAACGGUAUUUAUUUAACAUUACUUCAAUAAAUUUUGGUCCAACAUUCCUCUCCCCCUAUAUCCAUGUACCUUAGAUGAAACAUAAACCUGUGGGUUGAAUAUUUCCGAAGUGUGCACCUGAUGUUUCAAUUUAAGUCUCAAUCCAAUUUGCAGUCUGGACCGCAGCGAUCAAUAAACCCCUUCCCCUUCCCCACCCCUUCCUAUAACUAUCCAACAAACUGAUUGCGUUAAAGUUUUAUUAACCAUACUUCUAUCGCAGACAAAACUGUAGCUCCGAACCCACGUCCCAUUUGUUUCAAUGUCUUAAACCUUAACCCCUAUAUCUGAUACAUCCUUAAAUUUUAUCAUUUUCCGAUACGUUAAUUUGAACAUAGAUCAACAAUCGUAUCACAGAUAUGCCUCGAUUUUAUUUCUAUUAUCAAUUUAAUUCUAUUGAAUAAACCCCUGAUUUUGCAUUGUAUUUUUACUAGAAGUUUUUACAUCAACCCUACUUUUCAUUUUAUGUCAAUUCUAUUUGACUGAGCAGAAUUUCCCACUGUCGUUUUCGUUUUAAUUCUAUCGAAGUUGCCGUCGCUUGUCCUUAUCCUUUUUUAUUAAACUCUAUCAAAUUUGUCCCCGAGUUCCCUUUUACCGUAUCAAGUUCUUUUGAAUUUACGCUCGAUUUUCCAUUGUAUUUUUACUUAAAAUCUAUUGGAUUUACCCCCAACUUUCCGUUCUAUUUUGGAUUUAAAUCUAUUGAAUUUACCCCUAAUUUUCAUUGUAUUCUUGAGUUAAAUCUAUUGAAUUUACCCCCGACUUUCCAUUGUUUUUU